rnacentral:rRNA from 1 species
ACUGAAUAGAUACCCGGGUAGUCCACGCUGUAAACGAUGAUUACUCGAUGUUGGCGAUACACAGUCAGCGUCUGAGCGAAAGCAAUAAGUAAUCCACCUGGGGAGUACGAUCGCAAGAUUGAAACUCAAAGGAAUUGACGGGGCCGCACAAGCGGAGGAGCAUGUGGUUUAAUUCGAUGAUACGCGAGGAACCGUUACCUGGGCUCGAACGUAAGAUGACUGUAGGUGAAAGCUUACAUCUCUUCGGAGCAUUUUACGAGGUGCUGCAUGGUUGUCGUCAGCUCGUGCCGUGAGGUGUCGGGUUAAGUUCCCAUAACGAGCGCAACCCCUACCUUUAGUUGCCAACAGGUCAUGCUGGGGACUCUAAAGGAACUGCCUACGCAAGUAGUGAGGAAGGCGGGGAGUGACGUCAAAUCAGCACGGCCCUUACGUCCAGGGCUACACACGUGCUACAAUGGCCGAUACAGAGGGCAGCUACCUGGUGACAGGAUGCAAAUCUCCAAAGUCGGUCUCAGUUCGGA